rnacentral:rRNA from 1 species
UACGGGGGGUGCGAGCGUUGUCCGGAAUCACUGGGCGUAAAGGGCGCGUAGGCGGUUUGAUAAGGGUGGGGUGAAAGUCCGGGGCUCAACCCCGGAUCUGCCGUGCCGACUGUCAAACUCGAGGGCUGUAGAGGCAGACGGAAUUCCGGGUGUAGCGGUGGAAUGCGUAGAGAUCCGGAGGAAGACCGGUGGCGAAGGCGGGUCUCUGGGCCGUAACUGACGCUGAGGAGCGAAAGCAUGGGGAGCGAACAGG